rnacentral:ncRNA from 1 species
CCCCUAGGGGAGGCAGCACGACAGUAAAUAAAGCUCGCCGUUUGCAAGUUGGCCAAUUGGCCGGCAACACAAUCGAAUUGACGGGGACCUCCUAAAGCCUGUAACACCAACCGUCUGGGGAAACUCGGACGGGGCCCUCACGGGGGUGGUAAGAGAGUACAGGAUGCAACAAUGGACAAUCCGCAGCGAAGACCCUACCGGCUCCGGCCCACGGGUACCGUUCACAGACUAAGUGAUUGUGGGCGGGGCAGUUGUGCCCUGUCUAAGAUAUAGUCGGACUCUAUCCGAAAGGAUAGAGGAUAGCAUGUCCGUAGGUGAACCUGCGGAAGGAUCAUUA